UCCACGGCACGAAUUUACUAA
rnacentral:piRNA from 1 species